rnacentral:ncRNA from 19 species
AAAUAUGAUGAGCAACGGGUCACCUGAAGCUGCCCGACGGGGUAGCUUGUGAGGAACCGUUGGAGCGCUGAUU